rnacentral:rRNA from 1 species
UACGUAGGUGGCAAGCGUUGUCCGGAUUUACUGGGUGUAAAGGGCGUGCAGCCGGGCUGACAAGUCAGAUGUGAAAUCCCGCGGCUCAACCGCGGAACUGCAUUUGAAACUGUCAGUCUUGAGUACCGGAGAGGUCAUCGGAAUUCCUUGUGUAGCGGUGAAAUGCGUAGAUAUAAGGAAGAACCCCAGUGGCGAAGGCGGAUGACUGGACGGCAACUGACGGUGAGGCGCGAAAGCGUGGGGAGCAAACAGG